rnacentral:rRNA from 1 species
GCAGCGAAACGCGAUAGUUAAUGUGAAUUGCAGAAUUCAGUGAAUCAUCGAGUCUUUGAACGCACAUUGCGCCCAUUGGUAUUCCUUUGGGCAUGUCUGUUUGAGCGUCAUUACAACCCUCAGCUACCCGCUGGUUUUGAACCCGAACGGUGCCCCCUAACCGGGGAACCGAGCCGGUUUUAAAGUUGUAAGCUCUGCUGGCCGCUCCGCCCCAACCAGAACAUAGUAAAACACUACUUUUGUUAGGGUCAAGCGGAACGGUUUUCGGCCUGAACAAAACCUACCCAUUUUUCAAGGUUUGACCUCAGAUCAGACAAGGAUACCCGCUGAACUUAAGCAUAUCAAUAAGCGGAGGAAAAGAAACCAACAGGGAUUGCCUCAGUAACGGCGAGUGAAGCGGCAACAGCUCAAAUUUGAAAUCUGGAGUCUUUCGGCUUCCGAGUUGUAAUUUGAAGAGGAUGUUUCGGUGCGACCUGGGCCUAAGUUCCUUGGAACAGGACGUCAUGGAGGGUGAGAAUCCCGUACAUGGCUGCAGGUUUGCUUCUAUGUG